rnacentral:rRNA from 1 species
GCAUGAAGUCGGAAUUGCUAGUAAUCGCGGAUCAGCAUGCCGCGGUGAAUACGUUCCCGGGCCUUGUACACACCGCCCGUCACACCAUGGGAGUUGGGAAUACCCGAAGCCUGUGAGCUAACGAAAGAGGCAGCAGUCGAAGGUAGAAUCAAUGAUUGGGGUGAAGUCGUAACAAGGUACC